AAGUUAACGUUGCAUUUAAUGUCAGUUUAACAUAUGUAAGAGUAUUUAAAGAGUUAAAAUCUAUUUAGCUCUAUUUGUAUUGAAAAACGUUACCUGCGACCCUAUGUUUUUUGAUUUGUGUUCUACGCUAACACAAAAAUGAAUAAAAUUCUGAUUUUGUUACUGACUGGAAUGGCCAUAGUAGUCGCUGAUGACUGCCGACACGUUUGCGACAACGUCACAUGUGCACCAGUGACAUGUUCAUCGAAUGAAAAAUAUGCAGAAAUGGGAACCUACUGCGGAUGUUGCCCUUCUUGCAAGAAAAUAUUAAAAAAAGGUGGAGACUGUUUGCCUUUGCUUUUCCACGAUGGUGCACCAAAAAAAGUAAUAUGUGAUGAAGGAUUAACAUGUACUUUUAAUUGGAAAACUGGGAAUACAGCGACAUGUGAAUGAAAUACUGUUCAUAAGAUUCUAAAGCUUGUACAGUGAUUUUACAACACCAGUUAUAUCAAUAAAAUAUUCUUUUUCCUA